UACGGAGGAUCCGAGCGUUAUCCGGAUUUAUUGGGUUUAAAGGGUGCGUAGGCGGCCUGUUAAGUCAGGGGUGAAAGACGGUAGCUCAACUAUCGCAGUGCCCUUGAUACUGAUGGGCUGAAUGUACUAGAGGUAGGCGGAAUGUGACAAGUAGCGGUGAAAUGCAUAGAUAUGUCACAGAACACCAAUUGCGAAGGCAGCUUACUAUGGUAUUAUUGACGCUGAGGCACGAAAGCGUGGGGAUCAAACAGG
rnacentral:rRNA from 1 species